rnacentral:rRNA from 1 species
UACGUAGGCAGCAAGCGUUGUUCGGAGUUACUGGGCGUAAAGGGUGUGUAGGCGGUUGCUUAAGUUUGGUGUGAAAUCUCCCGGCUCAACUGGGAGGGUGCGCCGAAUACUGAGUGACUCGAGUGCGGGAGAGGAAAGUGGAAUUCCUGGUGUAGCGGUGAAAUGCGUAGAUAUCAGGAGGAACACCGGUGGUGAAGACGGCUUUCUGGACCGUAACUGACGCUGAGGAGCGAAAGCGUGGGGAGCGAACAGG